GAUAUAAGACUGGGAUAACUUCGGGAAACCGGGGCUAAUGCCGGAUAAUAUUUAGAACCGCAUGGUUCUAAAGUGAAAGAUGGUUUUGCUAUCACUUAUAGAUGGACCCGCGCCGUAUUAGCUAGUUGGUGGGGUAAUGGCUUACCAAGGCAACGAUACGUAGCCGACCUGAGAGGGUGAUCGGCCACACUGGAACUGAGACACGGUCCAGACUCCUACGGGAGGCAGCAGUAGGGAAUCUUCCGCAAUGGGCGAAAGCCUGACGGAGCAACGCCGCGUGAGUGAUGAAGGUCUUCGGAUCGUAAAACUCUGUUAUUAGGGAAGAACAAAUGUGUAAGUAACUGUGCACGUCUUGACGGUACCUAAUCAGAAAGCCACGGCUAACUACGUGCCAGCAGCCGCGGUAAUACGUAGGUGGCAAGCGUUAUCCGGAAUUAUUGGGCGUAAAGCGCGCGUAGGCGGUUUCUUAAGUCUGAUGUGAAAGCCCACGGCUCAACCGUGGAGGGUCAUUGGAAACUGGGAAACUUGAGUGCAGAAGAGGAAAGUGGAAUUCCAUGUGUAGCGGUGAAAUGCGCAGAGAUAUGGAGGAACACCAGUGGCGAAGGCGACUUUCUGGUCUGUAACUGACGCUGAUGUGCGAAAGCGUGGGGAUCAAACAGGAUUAGAUACCCUGGUAGUCCACGCCGUAAACGAUGAGUGCUAGGUGUUAGGGGGUUUCCGCCCCUUAGUGCUGCAGCUAACGCAUUAAGCACUCCGCCUGGGGAGUACGACCGCAAGGUUGAAACUCAAA
rnacentral:rRNA from 1 species